rnacentral:rRNA from 1 species
GACGUAGGAUGCAAGCGUUGUCCGGAAUUAUUGGGCGUAAAGAGUUCGUAGGCGGUUGCCUAAGUCUGAUGUUAAAUACUGGAGCUCAACUCCGGCAUGGCAUUGGAAACUGGGCGGCUAGAGUGUGGUAGAGGUCGUCGGGAAUUCCAGGUGUAGCGGUGAAAUGCGUAGAUAUCUGGAGGAACACCGGUGGCGAAAGCGCGAGACUGGGCCAUAACUGACGCUGAGGAACGAAAGCCAGGGGAGCGAAAGGG